UGAUUUUAUAAUUGUCUCAAAUACCCACUUUAUUCCACUGCGUGAAUGCCCAUAAAAAUCUGCAGUGUAGAUCGGCGGGGGUUUCUUGAUGGAGCUACUGAAGUUACCAUUUACAGAUGCCUCCCAGCAGCCUUAAUGACUGUUGCCAAGAAAAUGCUCAGCCAUCCCCCAAUAGCAGCCACAGGGCAAAGCCAGAAAGGCUCUCCUAUACUUCUUCCUUCCUCUUACCCUACAAAUAUGCUAACAUGAUAUGAAGAUAAAGGAAAAGAGAACAUCUUGACCCCUCUCUCUCAAACUCUCUGACCUAAAGGUUAAAGAGGUGAUUCUUAGUUUUAU
rnacentral:lncRNA from 1 species